rnacentral:rRNA from 1 species
CAAAGGCGCAAGUCGCCCGGGGAGGAGCCUGCGUACGAUUAGCUUGUUGGUGGGGUAAAGGCCUACCAAGGCGACGAUCGUUAGCUGGUCUGAGAGGAUGAUCAGCCACAUUGGGACUGAGACACGGCCCAAACUCCUACGGGAGGCAGCAGUGGGGAAUAUUGGACAAUGGGCGAAAGCCUGAUCCAGCAAUGCCGCGUGUGUGAAGAAGGUCUUCGGAUUGUAAAGCACUUUCGACGGGGACGAUGAUGACGGUACCCGUAGAAGAAGCCCCGGCUAACUUCGUGCCAGCAGCCGCGGUAAUACGAAGGGGGCUAGCGUUGCUCGGAAUGACUGGGCGUAAAGGGCGCGUAGGCGGAUGGCACAGUCAGAUGUGAAAUUCCCGGGCUUAACCUGGGGGCUGCAUUUGAUACGUGUUAUCUAGAGUGAGGAAGAGGGUCGUGGAAUUCCCAGUGUAGAGGUGAAAUUCGUAGAUAUUGGGAAGACACCGGUGGCGAAGC